rnacentral:lncRNA from 1 species
AAAAAGUGUAUUUUUGGGUCUCCGUUUCUGAAAAAUGGAUUCGUAAAUAUUUAUUAAAAAUAUUUACGAAGUAAAAUGAGUGGUUAAUUAGAGUUUAAUUAAGUGAAUUUAAUUUAAUUAAGAGUAAUUAAGUAAAAGGAUCAAAUUGAAUAAAGUGUGAAAGUUGAAUUAUAGAUUAAGAGAAAAUAAAAAAGACUAAAAGGGAAAUUAUACAAAAUGUAAGAGUUUUUUUAUUUUUAGUAUAUUAUUAUAUUAUUAUAUAAUAAAGAUACUUUAUGUUUUAAUUAUAUUAUAUUGUAUUAUAUUAUAUAUAUAAACUAAAGAAGCAAAUGAAAGGAAAUAGAAACAGAAUGGAACGAAACAGAGAGCAGGGGAGAAAAAGAAAGAAAGACGGGGAGAAAAGGGAAAAUUGAAGGUUUGAAGCUUUAAGUUUUAAUAGGUAAGUCAAUCAAGCAAUUUUUACUUAAUUUUGAUGUUUUAGAAGUUUUAGAACAAAGUUUUGAUGAAAUUAAGUUGAUAUUUUGAUAGUUAUUAGAUUUCUAGAUAUUGUCCAUGUUAAAUAAAAUGAUGAAUUAAGAGCUAAAUUGAUAGAAAUUCAAGUUAAAAAUGAUACAAGGAUUGAAUUGUAAAGUGAUUCAUAAGUUUUAUGCUUUAAGGACUAAAUUGAAAGAAUUUCGAAAUUAUAGUUUUAUGAUGAAAAAUAGAUAAUUAUGUCUAAGUUUGGUUAAAAAUUGAGUAGAAAUAAAGUAUGAAUUAAGAUAGAAAAGUAAGUGAAUUUAGUUAGAAUUAAAUUGAAAUUAAAGUAAAUCAACAUUUUGUACUAAGACUAUUUUGGACAGCAGCAGUAGUCUAAGUUUGAAAAAUCACUAAAAAUUGUAGAAAUUGAAUUAGAGAAUGAGUAAAAUAUGGAAUUAAAUAUUAUUGAGUCUAGUUUCUUAUAGAAGAAACAAUAUAAGCAAUUGAAUUGUAAAUUAUUAAAUAUAAUGAAUUUUGUGAGACAAGGUCAGAAUGAAUUCGGGUUCCCCUGUUCUGACUUUGGAAAAUCACUAAAAAUUGAAGAAAAAUAAUUAGAGGCUUAAAGUUAUAUGUUUAGAAUCCCUAAUGAGUAUAUUUUCAAGAAAAAUCAACAAGAAUAUUAUCCGAGUUCUGUACUGUGAGAUAAUUAAUUUUUAGUGAAGAAGAGACGAAACUGCCAGACAGCAGAAUAGGGGUGAAUUUAAAGAAUAAACUGUACUUAAUGGCUAUACCAAAAAUUCUGAAAAUUUUAUUGUAAGAAGAUUUGUGAGUCUAGUUUCAGGAAAAAUUAGCAGAUCUUAAUUUAGAAUUCUGUAACUCAAGAUAUAAAUUAGUAAUGCAUUAAUGAUUAUGAAUUGUAUUAAUUUCGUAGUCAAUGUGAUACCAGAAAUCUCGGCUAAGAAAGGACAAGACAAAGUCAACGGGAGUUAGCUCGAAAAUUACGGUUUGUAUUUCUAUAAUCCGAACUUAGUUAUUAUUUGUUAUAUUUAUAUACAUAUGGCAAUUGUUAGUGUUAGAAUUAUGAUGUUUUACAAUUGGAAUGGAUUGAUUUUGGUAUGCGAUGAAUUUAUUGAAUUUAUAUUGAUUGAAAUUAUUUUGACUGAAUUUAUAUUGAUUGAAUUAUAUAAUAUAUAUGACUUAUGUAGAAAUUUGAAUAUUGAAUGAAUGUUAUAUUGAAAAAUAUAUUGAUUGGAAAUAUGAGGAAAUUGAUAUGAAUAUAUGAGAUUGUGAUAUUUGAAUAUUUGAUAUUGAAAAGUGAAUUGAGUUGUAUUAAAUUAUGAAUUAAUGUGAAUAAUUGAAAUAUAUUGUUGAAUUGAAUGAAAUUGUAUGAAUUGUGAAAAUGGGUGAAUAUAUGUGAUUAUCAGAAUGGUAUAUUGAUGAAAGAAUUAUUAAAUUGAGAAAGUGAAUGAAAUACCCUAUUAAUUAGUCGGGCUGAGUCGGAUAUAAUUGGCAUGCCAUAGGAUCUGGAAGUGUACGGGAUUUGCCGGCUUUAUCGAUCAGGCACUUUAUGUGUCGUAUUUCAGGCACCUCGUGUGUCGUAUCAGGCACCUCUUGUGUCGUAUCAGGCACCUCGUGUGUCGUUUUAGGCACUUUAUGUGUCGUAUACUGAUCAGGUACUAUGUACCGUUUUAGGCACAAUGUGCCGUACUAGUGUGUUUGGGUUGGAAUCCGUGUUUCCGUCAAAGUUCGGGUUUGUUAAUAGGGGUAAAUAAGUGAAAGAUAAAUCAAAUAAAUUUGGUUGAUCAAGCUAUUGAAAUGAAACGAGAAAUUGAAUUGAGAAUUGAAAAUUUAGAUAUGAAAUUGAAAAUAUGAACCAAACGUUCAUGAAAUGAUUGGAGUUCGAAUUGAUGAUAUAUGAUGCCACUUGAUGAAUUGAAAUGUGAUUUGAGAUAUAUGAAUCGUAUGUAUAUACUGAAAGCUAUCAGGGAUAGUAAGUUGAUACGAUAUAAAUGAAAUUGACUGUUAUUGAAAUGAAUUAAAAUGGAAUAUGAUUGAUAAGUAUAUAGUUGAAUAUAGUUUAAUGAUAUUGAAUUGUGAGUAAAUUAAGGAAAGUUAUACCGAAUAGUAAGUGAAUGAACGGAGUAAAUAGUAAUGGAUUUAUUUAAGAAUUGAACAAUUAUGUUAUUGUGUUUAUUAUAUGAUUUGUAUAAAAUUUAUAUGGUAAGUAGUUGAAAUUUAUCUAUGAAUAAAUAAUUGAAUAAUUGUAAUUGUUAUUAUGAUCUUAAGUAUUUGUUAUAUUAUUAAUUGUUCGGAUUAUAGAAAUACCACUGAGUAUACCAUACUCAGCGUACGGUUUGUUUCCGUGCGCAGGUUAAGUAAAGAUAGUACGUUGAAUCAGCAUCCCAGGAUGAUCCCGAAUUCAUUAAGGUAAAGUAUGUUGAGUAUUGAUAGUGGCAUGUACCCAGGAUGUUUAAUGAGAGUCAUUUACUAAAAAUUCGUAGUGAUUCUAAAUUAGUCCCGAAUUGAAUUUACUAUUCAUAUUGGACCGCAAGGGCCCAUUAAAGGGACGACAUCUUAAAACUAGGAUGUGUGUGAAUAUUUAUUUUAAUUAAUGACCGAAAUUGGACUGUAUUGACUGGUAAUGUCUCGUAACCCUGUUUCGGUGACGGUAUAGGGUUAGGGGACGUUACAAAAAAUGCUUUCAAAUUCUCCAUAUAAUGAAUUUGGUAGAAGGAAGCUAUAGGUAGGUAUUGCUUGGAGGACUGAUUUGAUGAAGAUUUCUUUUCCCCCUUGAUAGUAGUCUACAACUCCAUCCUUCAAUUUUCCAUGAAAUGAUUCCUUUUUCCUUCUGCCAACCAUAUUAGGAAGCCCUAAGUACUUCUCCAAAUUUGUUAAAACUCUUACUCCUAGCAACUUUGAAAUUUCUUCUUUUAUGACUCGCGUUGAAUUCGAGCUAUAAAAUAUUGUUGAUUUUUCAAAGUUGACACAUUGGCCUAAACAUAUUUCAUAUUCCUUCAGUAUUUCUUUCAGUAUCAUUGCCCUCCUAUUUGUUGCUUCACCAAACAAAAUACAAUCAUUAGCGAAAAGAAGAUGGGAAAUCUCCGGACCUCUUCUGCUAGCCUUUACACCUUUUAACAACCUUUCUCUUACUGCCAAUCUCAUCAACGAUGAAAGACCCUCACUGCAAAUAAGAAAAAGAAAAGGAUUAAUAGGGUCACCUUAUCGAAGCCCCCUAGUCGGUUGAAAAAUUCUUCCCCUACUUCUGUUAAUGUUUACUGUAUAAAAGGUUGUGGUAAUGUAUUUCAUGAUUAGUGUCACCCACUCACUUGUGAAUCCCAUAUGUAAUAUUACAUCCUGUAGAAAGCCCCAUUCAACUCUAUCGUAAGCUGUGCUUAUGUCUAGCUUCAUUGCCAUAUAUCAUUUUUUUUCCUGUGCGUUUCUGGCGAAAAGUAUGUAGGAUUUCAUAAGCUAGAAGAACAUUAUCUGAAAUUAGUCUUUCGGGGACGAAAGCACUUUGUGCAUGAUCAAUACAUCUUCCAAGCAGAAAAUUCUGAUCAUAAUUCAAAAUUCCCAAGCAGAAAUUUUCGACAUCUUUUCCUACAAUGUGCUAGUACCUCUGAAAAAUAAUGCUAGGAAACCAUCGUGACCUUGUGCUUUAGUAGACCCCAUCCCUUUCAAAGCUGUCUUAAUUUCUUCUGCAGUAUAAGAUGACAACAAUAUUGUAUUUAAACCAAAAGAAAUAUUAUUUUGAAUACUCGUUAGAAGAUGAGAUGGAUCCCCAACUCCAUUUGUCGUGAACAGCUUUUGAAAAAUAAAAUGGCAGCCUCACUAAUUUCUAAUUUAUUCGUAGUUUCCCUUCUACUAUCCAGCUCUAGCCUGGAAAUUGUGUUUUUCCGUUUUCGAGCUGAGGCAAACUUAUGAAAGAAGGCUGAAUUUUUUUCCCCUAAUUUCAGCCAAUUUGCUCUUGCUUUUUGUUCUCAGUACAUUUCAUAUUUAUUAAUUUCCAUAUUAAGAUGGAUUUUAGUAUCAAUAAUUUUUUCCAUCAUUUCAUCAUCACUCUCUCUGUCCAUCAGAAAUUCUAGUUCCUUCAUUAAUUUAUUCUUAAGACCCUUUCUACCUUUUCUAAUUGUGCUUCCCCAUUUCUUCAAACUGAUUUGCAACCUCUCAAGCUUCUCUAUUAAUGUGCCUAUAUAUGAUUCCCAUGAUAUCUUGACUUCUUGCUCAAAAGAUUCUUCCAUGGUCUAUCAUGCCUCAAAUUUGAAUUUAUGACUUACCGUAUGAAUAUUAUCAGAAAUUGUGUUUAGAAGAAGAGGACAAUGAUUCGACAUUGAAUGGGGUAAAUGUUGAAUGCCCCCUCACGAAAAAGAUUCAUCCAUUCCCCCUUUCCCAAGUGAACCAGGCCUCGGAGUAUCCAAUGUCCAUUAGUUGACAAUCUUCUAGAACCGCACGAAAAGCCUCCAUUAUUCUCUGCUCUGCUGAUAGGCUUCUUUUUUUUUUCAAAGGAUUACAAGAUUUCAUUAAAAUCUCUACAUACUAGCCAGGGAUGAUUUUGUUCUUCUCCUAACUUCCUUAACAAAUUCCAUGAAAUAUUCUUGUUAUUUAAAUAGGGUGAACCAUUAAAACCUGUAAACCUCCAAUCUUCUUGGCCAUUUUCCUCUGUUAUCAUUACAUCAAUAUGGCUUUUUGAAAAACUCCUCAAUUGAACCGUGAUUUCUCCUUUCCAUGCUAAACUUAAUCUACCGUGAGAACCUUCUACUUCAACGUCAAUCCCAUUCAAAAACCCAUAACUCCUCCUAACCUUAUCCAUGCGCUUCUUGUCAAUUUUUGUCUCCAUUAAGAAUAUCAUUUGGGGAUUAUGCUGUUUUAACAAAUGUCGCAGCCUCCGUACUGCCCGUGGACUCCCCAAGCCACGGAUAUUCCAACAUAUGUUUUUCAUUGCGUUCAGUCGACAUGCCUUCAGCAACUGCCGAUUCAUAAAAUUUGAGAGCAUCAUCCUGUUCCAUAUUUCCAACACCCUCCUCUGAGGGAUCUUCAAUUCGACCAUUUGCUUCUUCAUGUUUUACUCUUUUUGCUCCAUUUGCAUUUGUGACUUUGAUACUGCUGUUACCACUAUCAGUUUCUGGAUAUUUUCUUUUUCCCAUAAUACUGUCCUCUUUCUUUUGGAUUGACAUACUCCUCGGUACAAUUCUUUUCCAACUAGAUUUCUUAUCUAGAGUUGAAUUUUUUCCCACUGUGUUAGAGCUUUCACUCCACUCACCAAUUUCCUGCAUGUUAGAUCCUUCUUCCUGCUUCUUGAACGUCUCCAUCAAACCCCCCAAUUUUAAAUCGUUUUGAGGCUUCCAGUGUAUAGUAUUCUCGUCAUCAAGUUGUUUACCAUUGUCGAACAAUACCUCCGUGACACCUAUGUAAGAACAUUGGGAUACCAUCUUCUUUGAUAAAAGAUUAAAUUUCAAACUCUCCUUUCCAAUUUAAGAACGUUGGGAUACCAUAUUCUUUAAUAAAAGAUUAAAUUUCAAACUCUCUUUGCCAAUUUGAUUUGAUUCAGCUUUUAAUGCCAGAGAAUAUGGUGGAUCAUCACUAAUUCUAUUCUUUUCUGCAGGAUUCAGUUCAUCACAAUCAUUGAGGCCAUGCCCCAUUCUUCCACAUCCAAAAUAAAAAACUGGUAAUUUCUCAUAUUUAAAAGAUAUCCACGACUUAUUUUUAUUAUCAAUUGAAACAAAAAUACCUCUACGUAGUGGUUUUUGCACAUCUAGAUUUAUUUUUAAACGACAUAAAUCCCCAGCAAUUUCAGAUCUGAUUACUCCUCCAAAAGUUACCUCGAUGACAUGCAAUAAAUCUUUUUUGUUGAAUUCUGGUGAACACGCACCCAUCUUAAUCCAGAACGGUGAAGAAUUCAGCCGGAUCUAAUUUUUCUCGGUCAGUUUGGUUAACUGAUCAAAUAAAAUGAGGCUUUUACGAAACAACCAUGGUCGCCCUUCCAUUAUUGUUUCCAAGUCAUCUUUUAAAUCAAACACAAUUAGAAAGAGAUUUUGCCCUACUAGCUGGAUUUCAAACUUCCUCUUCGUCUUCCAUAUACUCUUCAUUCGUGCUUUAAAGCUUUCCGGGUUGUAGGCCUUCUUUGUCCAUAUUGAACAUAUCAGAGUAGGUUUCUCAUUCGAUACCACCAAUGAACAUUUGACAGAUAAUUGAAUGAGUUCAUCUGCCAGUAACGAGAUCUCAUCGUUUUUCUCUCUAACGGCGUCACCACUGUCCUCCAUCCCAAGCUGCAGCAGUUACUGCUUUCUCUAAGACUCUUUGACAACGCACUCUUGGCUUUCAGAGAGAACUAUUAAUUAUUUUCUUCCUUUAUACGUGAAUUUUAAAAUUGAACUAAUACUAGAAAUUAUUAUUUAGCUACGCUCGGGUCUAAAAAUUUUA